GACGAACGCUGGCGGCGUGCCUAAUACAUGCGAGUAGAACGCUGAAGGAGGAGCUUGCUUCUCUGGAUGAGUUGCGAACGGGUGAGUAACGCGUAGGUAACCUGCCUGGUAGCGGGGGAUAACUAUUGGAAACGAUAGCUAAUACCGCAUAAUAGCAGUUAUUGCAUGAUAACUGUUUGAAAGGUGCAAUUGCACCACUACCAGAUGGACCUGCGUUGUAUUAGCUAGUUGGUGGGGUAACGGCUCACCAAGGCGACGAUACAUAGCCGACCUGAGAGGGGGAUCGGCCACACUGGGACUGAGACACGGCCCAGACUCCUACGGGAGGCAGCAGUAGGGAAUCUUCGGCAAUGGACGGAAGUCUGACCGAGCAACGCCGCGUGAGUGAAGAAGGUUUUCGGAUCGUAAAGCUCUGUUGUAAGAGAAGAACGAGUGUGAGAGUGGAAAGUUCACACUGUGACGGUAUCUUACCAGAAAGGGACGGCUAACUACGUG
rnacentral:rRNA from 1 species